AAAGUUGCUGCAGUUAAAAAGCUCGUAGUUGAACGUUCGGGGUUCCGCGGGACGGGGCCGCCCCGCGAGGGACGGCGCCGCCCCGGGGCUCGUGAUAUCUUAUCUCGCCGCCCGUCGCGAGGCGGACGGAGGGAUGGAUGAGGUUACCUGGAAAAAAUCCGGGCGAUCUAGGCGGGCGAACCUCGCCAACGAACGAUCGGACAUGGGAUAACGGAAGAGGGCGUCGGCUCGACUUCGUCGGUUCCUCGGGCCGAGGCACGUACGGUGAAUAGGGGACGGUCGGGGCCGCCCGUACCGGGUCGUGAGAGGUGAAAUUCUAGGAUCGACCCGAGACGAACUGCCGCGAAAGCAUUCGGCAAGGACGCUUUCAUUAAUCAAGAACGAAAGUCGGGGAUCGAAGACGAUCAGAUACCGUCGUAGUCCCGACCGUAAACGAUGCCGACCGAGGGCCCGGAGGAGUUACGUACGACCCUCCGGGCCCUCCCGCGAGAAAUCAGGAGUAUUCGGGUUCCGGGGGAGUAUGGUCGCAAGGCCGAAACUUAAAGGAAUUGACG
rnacentral:rRNA from 1 species